AUUGAACGCUGGCGGCAGGCCUAACACAUGCAAGUCGAACGAGUGGCGGACGGGUGAGUAAUGUCUGGGAAACUGCCUGAUGGAGGGGGAUAACUACUGGAAACGGUAGCUAAUACCGCAUACCAUCAGAUGUGCCCAGAUGGGUUUAGCUAGUAGGUGGGGUAAAGGCUCACCUAGGCGACGAUCCCUAGCUGGUCUGAGAGGAUGACAAGCCACACUGGAACUGAGACACGGUCCAGACUCCUACGGGGGGCAGCAGGGGGGAAUAUUGCACAAUGGGCGCAAGCCUGAUGCAGCCAGGCCGCGUGUAGGAAGAAGGCCUUCGGGUGGUAAAGUACGUUCAGCGGGUAGGCGUUACCCGCAGAAGAAGGACCGGCUAACUCCGUGCCAGGAGCCGCGGUAAUUC
rnacentral:rRNA from 1 species